rnacentral:rRNA from 1 species
AUACGUAGGGGACGAGCGUUGUCCGGAAUUACUGGGCGUAAAGGGCGCGCAGGCUGUUUGACAAGUCAGCUGUUAAAUAUGGGGGCUUAACCCUUAUAUGCGGUUGAAACUAUCAGACUGGAGUGCUGUAGAGGCAAGUGGAAUUCCCAGUGUAGCGGUGAAAUGCGUAGAUAUUGGGAAGAACACCGGUGGCGAAGGCGACUUGCUGGGCAGCAACUGACGCUGAGGCGCGAAAGCCAGGGGAGC